UAAUACCGGUUAAUCUUGUGCCAGCAGCAGCGGGAAGGCAAGUGGUGUAAACGUUCUAUAGGUUGAUUAGGUGUAAAGAGUGAUUUGGAUUGGUGUAAUUUAUGUAUCAAUUAUGGAUAAACAUA
rnacentral:rRNA from 1 species